GUGCCAGCCGCCGCGGUAAUACCGGCAGCCCAAGUGAUGGCCGAUCUUAUUGGGCCUAAAGCGUCCGUAGCUUGCUGUGUAAGUCCAUUGGGAAAUCGACGUGCUCAACGCGUCGGCGUCCGGUGGAAACUACACGGCUUGGGGCCGAGAGACUCGACGGGUACGUCCGGGGUAGGAGUGAAAUCCUGUAAUCCUGGACGGACCACCAAUGGGGAAACCACGUCGAGAGACCGGAUCCGACAGUGAGGGACGAAAGCCAGGGUCUCCAACCGGAUUAGAUACCCCAGUAGUCC
rnacentral:rRNA from 1 species